CGAGUGUGUGACGUGGCAGCAGCAGUGUUUAAAUGUGUUACGUGAUCCCAGAGAGUGUUACACGUUGUGACAUUAGUAGUAUUCUGUUACCUGGACACAUGAUAGGGCUGUUACUGGCUGUGUUACGUCACUGUGUUAAGGUGACGGGCUGUGACGUGGGCUCUCAGGUGUUAUGCAGUGUUAACAGUGCCACCGACAGUUCCAUGUUCAGCAGGUGUUACGUGAUGCAAGACAGAUUAGUUACCCAGUGUUACAGUGUCUUGUUAACCUACCUGGUGUGACCCCCCUCCUGUGAUGUGGGCUCAGCCAGGGUGUUUAAUAUGCAGUGCCACAGACAGUGUUAUGUUACCAGGCAGUGUUCACAGUGGCAUAGAUUCGUGUGGUGCCAGAAUCAGUGUGAUGCCAGCCAUUCGUGCCGUGACGGCAAAUGUAUAGAAUAACACCCAUGUGACCCUAGGACCCUGUACAGAGGCUUCGGGAAUAUUCGCACCGCUGUGAUGUAGUACUCUUGUUAAUUAAAGUUAAUCUCACGUCAAGGCUGACCUGACCAGGGCUACAGCAGGUCACACAGGGCUGUCACCUACCAAAACAACCCUCGCUUAUCAUCACCACAAGCUCUUUAGUGGGUGUGCGUUUAGGGCGGGGUGUGGUGGUAAUUACAACAUUUCUAGCACAUCCAGCCUGGUUUUGACAAGCCAGCAGACGUGUUUAGGUUACAAGGGGGGUACUUUUCCACGCAGGCUCUUCCCUUUCUUCACCCCGGAGCUCGCAGUCUCUCUCUCUCUCUCAUGUACCUUUAAGGAAGAAAGGGCCAUGGAAAUUUUACAGUAAAGAGAGAAAUAAGAGGAAAUUACUACCCUUAACUUACACUACUGGUAACCUAAGCUGUGGGGGAAAAUGACUUCAUUACAUAAGAACAUAGAAAUACUUAUUCCUGCUUUGGUCAGUAUAUGAUGCUCUUUAUUAUGGGGAUGCUGCUAUUUUACAGAAACCGUGCGCUGAAUGGAUGACUUUUUAAUGCUGGAGGUCCACUCCCUGACGCCCCGCCCUGCACGUCACGACCUGCCCCGGCAUCAGUUGAGCGGUGGCACUGCCCGGCACUUCCUCAAGAAGGCUCUCCUGCCCCUGACUGGCUGGUGUGACAGUCUGCUGCUUCUUGGUUGGUGUAGCAGUGCCGGGAGGUGCCAUAACACAGGGCACUCCUCACCUCAACAACAGUCUCUUCACCGACAAGUAAUUCUUCACCAACAAGCUUUUCAGCAGCUUGGAGAAAUAGACACUACCAAACGAAGAAGAGGAGGAGGAGGAGGAGGAGGACUGGGAAGAAGACGAGGAACACAGGAGGAGCCCAUUGAGAGAACAAGAAGAAGAAGAAGAAGAAGAAGAAGAGGAGGACACAGGAAUUCCUUGGUUGGUGUAGCAGUGCCGGGAGGUGCCAUAACACAGGGCACUCCUCACCUCAACAACAGUCUCUUCACCGACAAGUAAUUCUUCGCCAACAAGCUUUUCAGCAGCCUGGAGAAAUAGAGGAAGAAGAAGAGAAGAUGAAGAGGAAGAAGAGGAGGAGGAGGAUAAGGACUUGGUUGGUGUAGCAGUGCUGGGAGGUGCCAUAACACAGGGCACUCCUCACCUCAACAACAGUCUCUUCACCGACAAGUAAUUCUUCACCAACAAGCUUUUCAGCAGCUUGGAGAAAUAGAGAUAGGAGGAGGAAGAAGAAGAAGAGGAAGAGGAAGAGGAGGAUGACUUUGAAGACCAGCAGACAGACAGAAAGACAUUGAAUUGAAUGGCUGGCGUCUCGGUCUGCCUGCCUGCGGGACACCGCACACUCUGGAAGAAGAAAGAACACCAAGAUGUCAAGUUCCUGCAUAAUCAGCCUCUUAGUGAAGGAAAUGUGCUCUAUUUAUUUAAUAAAUGAUUGACAAAAAAAUAA